UAGAAGACAGCAGGAGGACGGAGGGGAAAAUGGCUGGGCCCUGGAGAGGCACAACUUGCCAAGUCUUAAACCGACUUUCUGAGCACGAAUGAAAUCCAAACCCCUGGGUGUGGGGGCUGCUUUACACUGGCCUGAGGUGAUUUCCUGUUUUUGAAGAAAAGAGGUGGGUAGGAAGCUCAGAGACAUGUUCUGGGCACCAGGCAGCUUUGACAAAACAGCCCUCUCCUGACUUCAGCAUAACUGGGGCAGAUAUGGCAAGAUAGAAUUACUCCGUGGGCAAGAAGUUUUCAAAACCAGGCAGGCUCUGUGCUUAGUAGAGGGGACGAUGCCAGCUCCGGGGGGUUGGGCUCUGGGGGCCUGAACAGGGCGGGCACGGGCACUUAGCGAGCUCACAGGCCGGCCAGCGUCGGCCGCCUUUGCUCAGUGCGGAACAAAGCAAGCGGCACAGAGAGAAACUGAGAGCGAGAGACCAGUGUCAGUCAGCCGCCGCUGCUGGGGGCUGGCUUUCUUGCUGUGUAUUCCUUGCUUACUCCCCGGAAAAAGCCUCACGGUGCACAGGCUGUUGAGCAGGUGCCGUGGGACCGAAGUGCACACUACCGGUUCAGUAGGGCAGCAGCCCACUCUGGAUUUUCCCGGCAGGACCCGGUUUCAGGUUGCCCCUCCAAAGCCGCCCUACAUGGAGGAAAGAAAAGACAUGACACACAUUACAAGAGACUUGACUUCUGAGAAAUCCUCUCAUUCCUGCAGGGGAGAAAUUUUGUUUUUCAAGAGCUGUUUUCUCAUAAAGACCAAAGUCUUCGCAGUUUGGAUCUCAGCGUUUGAGUCUUUUCUUUUUCUUUUCAUGAUGAGAAAACCGAGACCCAGAGGGAGUUACCAACCUUCACUGCUGGUGAUCGGCGGAACCAGAUUUGAAACUUCAUGGUGUAACGUGGGGCCUAGGCUCAUCACACCCUGUGCUGCCUCCCACAUUCUCCGGGCUGGGCCCCCGGAGCACUGAGAAGAAAAUGGCAACUGUUUAACUCUGAGCCCAGCACAAAAUAAAUGCUCAAGAAACAGUAGCCAUAAUCAGGUUCCCGUCCUUGGUCAACCACUUGCAUAUGCAUGACCGUAGGCAAAACAUUGUGGCUUCUCUGUGCCUCGAUUUCCUCAC